UACGAAGGGGGCUAGCGUUGCUCGGAAUCACUGGGCGUAAAGCGCACGUAGGCGGCUUUUUAAGUCAGGGGUGAAAUCCUGGAGCUCAACUCCAGAACUGCCUUUGAUACUGGGAAGCUUGAGUCCGGGAGAGGUGAGUGGAACUGCGAGUGUAGAGGUGAAAUUCGUAGAUAUUCGGAGGAACACCAGUGGCGAAGGCGGCUCACUGGCUCGGUACUGACGCUGAGGUGCGAAGGCGUGGGGAGCAAACAGG
rnacentral:rRNA from 1 species